UUUUCAAAUUCUUCAACAUUAAGCAUUCUAAAGGCAUGAGGCCUAGUUUCUCUUUGCCUCCAUUUUGCAUAGGGAAGGUCCUAAAGUGUAAGUCUUUUUGUCCAUUUGCAUUUGGUUCACAAUAAUCAACACAAAACACAAGCACAAUAGUAUAUACACGAUUAUGUACUCAAGUGAGCAAAAUGCAAUUUGCAUUAACAUAAACAUGUG
rnacentral:lncRNA from 1 species